rnacentral:rRNA from 1 species
AGCUUGAUAUUGAAUUUUGAUGCAGUAUGUACAGGAUAGGUAGGAGCCUAGGAAUCAUGCACGCCAGUGUAUGAGGAGGCGUUGUUGGGAUACUACCCUUGCUGUAUUGAAAUUCUAACCCUCGGCAUAGAAGACCGGGAGACAGUGUCAGGUGGGCAGUUUGACUGGGGCGGUCGCCUCCUAAAGAGUAACGGAGGCGUUCAAAGGUUCCCUCAGAAUGGUUGGAAAUCAUUUGCAGAGUGUAAAGGCACAAGGGAGCUUGACUGUGAGACCUACAAGUCGAGCAGGUGCGAAAGCAGGACUUAGUGAUCCGGU